UUGAACGCUGGCGGCAUGCUUUACACAUGCAAGUCGAACGGUAACAGGCCGCAAGGUGCUGACGAGUGGCGACCGGGUGAGUAAUGCAUCGGAACGUGCCCAGUCGUGGGGGAUAACUACUCGAAAGAGUAGCUAAUACCGCAUACGAUCUAUGGAUGAAAGCGGGGGACCGUAAGGCCUCGCGCGAUUGGAGCGGCCGAUGUCAGAUUAGGUAGUUGGUGGGGUAAAGGCUCACCAAGCCAACGAUCUGUAGCUGGUCUGAGAGGACGACCAGCCACACUGGGACUGAGACACGGCCCAGACUCCUACGGGAGGCAGCAGUGGGGAAUUUUGGACAAUGGGCGCAAGCCUGAUCCAGCAAUGCCGCGUGCAGGAAGAAGGCCUUCGGGUUGUAAACUGCUUUUGUACGGAACGAAACGGCUCUGGUUAAUACCCGGGGCUAAUGACGGUACCGUAAGAAUAAGCACCGGCUAACUACGU
rnacentral:rRNA from 1 species